AUGCCUAACACAUGCAAGUCGAACGAAGGUUUCGGCCUUAGUGGCGCACGGGUGCGUAACGCGUGGGAAUCUGCCCUUGGGUUCGGAAUAACAGUUGGAAACGACUGCUAAUACCGGAUGAUGUCGAUAAGACCAAAGAUUUAUCGCCUGAGGAUGAGCCCGCGUCGGAUUAGCUAGUUGGUGGGGUAAAGGCCUACCAAGGCGACGAUCCGUAGCUGGUCUGAGAGGAUGAUCAGCCACACUGGGACUGAGACACGGCCCAGACUCCUACGGGAGGCAGCA
rnacentral:rRNA from 1 species